rnacentral:rRNA from 1 species
GCUAUACAUGCAAGUAGAACGCUGAAGACUUUAGCUUGCUAAAGUUGGAAGAGUUGCGAACGGGUGAGUAACGCGUAGGUAACCUGCCUACUAGCGGGGGAUAACUAUUGGAAACGAUAGCUAAUACCGCAUAACAGCAUUUAACUCAUGUUAGAUGCUUGAAAGGAGCAAUUGCUUCACUAGUAGAUGGACCUGCGUUGUAUUAGCUAGUUGGUGAGGUAACGGCUCACCAAGGCGACGAUACAUAGCCGACCUGAGAGGGUGAUCGGCCACACUGGGACUGAGACACGGCCCAGACUCCUACGGGAGGCAGCAGUAGGGAAUCUUCGGCAAUGGGGGCAACCCUGACCGAGCAACGCCGCGUGAGUGAAGAAGGUUUUCGGAUCGUAAAGCUCUGUUGUAAGAGAAGAACGUGUGUGAGAGUGGAAAGUUCACACAGUGACGGUAACUUACCAGAAAGGGACGGCUAACUACGUGCCAGCAGCCGCGGUAAUACGUAGGUCCCGAGCGUUGUCCGGAUUUAUUGGGCGUAAAGCGAGCGCAGGCGGUUUAAUAAGUCUGAAGUUAAAGGCAGUGGCUUAACCAUUGUUCGCUUUGGAAACUGUUAGACUUGAGUGCAGAAGGGGAGAGUGGAAUUCCAUGUGUAGGCGGUGAAAUGCGUAGAUAUAUGGAGGAACACCGGUGGCGAAAGCGGCUCUCUGGUCUGUAAACUGACGCUGAGGCUCGAAAGCGUGGGGAGCAAACAGGAUUAUAUUACCCUGGUAUUCCACGCCGUAAAACGAUGAGUGCUAGGUGUUAGGCUCUUUUCCGGGGCUUAGUGCCGCAGCUAACGCAUUAAACACUCCGCCUGGGGAAUUACUACCGCAAGGUUGAAA